rnacentral:rRNA from 1 species
AUAUCAGUCAUGCAUAGCAUAUCAAUAAGCGGAGGAAAAGAAACUAACAAGGAUUCCCUUAGUAACGGCGAGUGAAGCGGGAAGAGCUCAAAUUUGAAAUCUUCAAGGUUCUACCUUGACGAAUUGUAGUUUAUAGAAGUGUUUUCUGUUAGUAGAGUGGCAAAAGUUCUUUGGAAUAGGACAUCAUAGAGGGUGAGAAUCCCGUAUUUGGUCAUUCUUUCUAGCUUUGUGAUACACUUUCAACGAGUCGGAUUGUUUGGGAAUGCAGUCCAAAAUGGGUGGUAAAUUUCAUCUAAGGCUAAAUAUUGGCGAGAGACCGAUAGCGAACAAGUACCGUGAGGGAAAGAUGAAAAGAACUUUGAAAAGAGAGUUAAACAGUACGUGAAAUUGUCAAAAGGGAAGCGUUUGACACCAGUGUUGUUUUUCCGAAAAUCAAUUACGAAUGUUUUAGUUUUUGAGGAGUUAUGACUUCAUCGGCUUGCUUCUCUCUUUACGAAACUUUCUUAAUGCACUUUUCGGUUAACAAGUCAACAUCAAUUUCUUUUGUUGUAAAAGGGUAUGAGGAAGGUGGCUUUCUUUUCGGAGAAAGUGUUUAUAGCCUUGUAGCCUCUGCAAUCGGAGAGAUUGAGGUCUGCAGCGUAGAUCCUUCGGGGUUAGAUACGUUUGUGCUAAGUUAUAGCUUUUCAUAGACAACUUGUUGACUAUGUUAAGUCUUGUAGCCUACUCGCUUAUGCUAUUUUACCUACGCUUAGGAUGUUGAUGUGAUACUGCGAGCA